UAAUACGUAGGAGGCAAGCGUUAUCCGGAUUUACUGGGCGUAAAGAGGGCGUAGGCGGCUUUUCAAGUCGGAUGUAAAAUCUCUCGGCUUAACCGGGAGGGAUCAUUCGAUACUGUUGAGCUAGAGGGCAGCAGAGGAAGACGGAAUUCCCGGUGGAGUGGUGAUAUGCGUAGAUAUCGGGAGGAACACCAGUGGCGAAGGCGGUCUUCUGGGCUGUUCCUGACGCUGAGGCCCGAAAGCGUGGGGAGCGAACAGGAUUAGAUACCCUGGUAGUCCACGCCGUAAACGAUGGAUACUAGGUAUGGGGAGUAUCGACCCUCUCCGUGCCGAAGCUAACGCCUUAAGUACCCCGCCUGGGGAGUACGACCGCAAGGUUA
rnacentral:rRNA from 1 species